rnacentral:rRNA from 1 species
UUGGAGGGCAAGUCUGGUGCCAGCAGCCGCGGUAAUUCCAGCUCCAAUAGCGUAUAUUAAAGUUGUUGCAGUUAAAAAGCUCGUAGUUGAAAUUCGAAAUUUGUCCUAUGGUCGGGCUUUACGGUCCGUACAGUAGUGGCGAAUUUCUACCUUCUGAAGAACCUUCAUGUCAUUAAUUUGGUGUGUUGGGAAAUCAGGACUGUUACUUUGAAAAAAUUAGAGUGUUUAAAGCAGGCUUAAGUCUGAAUACAUUAGCAUGGAAUAAUGAAAUAGGACGGAUUGGUUCUAUUUUGUUGGUUUCUAGGAUCACCGUAAUGAUUAAUAGGGAUAGUUGGGGGCAUUAGUAUUCAAUUGUCAGAGGUGAAAUUCUUGGAUUUAUUGAAGACUAACUUCUGCGAAAGCAUUUGCCAAGGAUGUUUUCAUUAAUCAAGAACGAAAGUUAGGGGAUCGAAGACGAUCAGAUACCGUCGUAGUCUUAACCAUAAACUAUGCCGACUAGGGAUCGGACGAAGUUAAUUUUUAGAUGACUCGUUCGGCGCCUUACGGGAAAC